GUUGUAAUGAACCGUAUUAACCCGAUAUACAUUUUUUUCUUUCUCUAUUUAUAGUAAUGAUGAACAGCUUUACAUUUUCGAAUUGCAUUUACGAGGGUAAUACUAUGUUUAGGAAAAAUCGCCUUGGAGAUUUCUUUUCAACGUUUGACCACGGGUAUUCAAAAUAGAAAGAAAAAGAAAAAGAUAUCUUGCCCCAUACGAAAACACACGCAAUUACCAAACAACCAUUCGGCCACAUAAGUUCAAUUCAAGAAGAAGGAAACAGGAGACUCCAUACGCUCAUCUAUCACCAGUCGGGCACCGAAGUCUGCUGCGUGAGAAGGAUAAUCAGCGCCAAGUGGUCGAACGAGACAGACGAACCAUUAGGCCGCAGAGAUACCAUAAAGGAAAAAUAUAUAUACCACGAAAAAGGAGCCGACAGAAUUACAGGGAUCCAUAUAUACAGUGUCCGUCCCCCUUGGCGUGGCGUGAGCAUCCCACCAGCGGCGUGAGAUGGAGCCCUUCACAGCGGGCAUCCUGGCGGUGGGGGGCAUGAUCGCCGUCAUGCUGACGGUCCUGGCUGCCCAGGAGAACAAGUACAUGGACACGCACAAUAAGAGCAAGAACAAGAAAGGCUUGUCAUCCCCCAAGGCGGAACCCAAAUCGCCAGUCGAAAAGGGGCACUAGAUUUUGAACUCCUUUUUGAAAAGUUCAAAAUUACUGCUCCUCUUUAGCCGCGCUGUAUAGAUUGGCGGAAUGUGUGUUUUUUAAGGUCUAGGGGCGUUUUUCUUUGUUGGAUUUUUAAGCAUUUUUUUCUUGUUUUAUUUAAAGUUCGAGGAAAUUAAUUUCCCAACUGAAAUGUAAAUCAUAUCUUAUCCGUGUUAAUAAAUACUAAUACAUGUUGA
rnacentral:lncRNA from 1 species